rnacentral:tRNA from 1 species
CACUAAGAAGCUAACCUACAGCACUAGCCUUUUAAGCUAGAGAGGGAAAUAACUUCCCUUAGUGA